rnacentral:lncRNA from 1 species
CAGCCACACCUUCAUAACUCCAAAUACCCGGAUUCGUUAUAGUUCCUCCUGUAAUACUCCAACCACCCCAUGAAUUGGUUAUUCCUAAACGAGUCAUGAAGGGUAUAACGAACAUACCUUGUCUCCACAUUGGAUCGAGAACGGGGUCAGAAGGAUCAAAAACUGCUAAUUCAUAUAGAGCCAUCGAGCCGGCCCAACCAGCAACCAAAGCUGUAUGCAUUAUAUGGACAGCCAGCAAACGACCGGGAUCAUUCAAUACGACGGUAUGAACACGAUACCAAGGCAAACCCAUGGAAUACCCCCUUAUCAACGAAAGAUAGACACUAUGUAACUUUAUUGCACUGGAAAAAACUAUGUUAUGGACCUCCCUUUUUCAGUGGAUUAUCUCGGAGAAAGGAUUCCAUUUUUUUUUUAGUAUUUUAGUCAGAAUGUCACAAUUCUGUUUGUAGGAACAAAGAGAAGCAGAUCUAUUCUAUACCAGAUAAGUACCAAUACGCAAUGGGAGGUUGACUCCAUUUUAGAUGAGCGAAUGCAUACGGAUUUGUUCAUCAUUCAAAGAGCCUAUUCGUAAGAAUUUGACUUUAAUUCAUUUUGUCUUCUUUUUUUUUAUGUUAUGAACUUAUCGAAUCUGCGCAAAUAACAAAUAAAAUAAAACAAAAAAAUAAAGAAAAUAGAAAAAAUAAUAAAAUAAAAGCCAAUAUCCAAUAUAAUAUUAUUAAGACAAUAAAUUCAUAUAAUAUUAUUAAAACAAUAAAUUCAUUGUUACGCUUUCACAUCAAAGUAAAAUAAAGUACUUCAUUUUUUUUUAUUUCAUUUAAUGUCUAUUAGUGUUCCAAAAGUUCCUUUUUAAAAUCCCGGAGAAGAUAGUUCAAAUUGGAUUGUCUUAAUAAUAUUAUAUGAAUUUAUUAAGAAUACUUAUAGUAGUUUUCCACGUAAACGCGACGCGGCUUUAAAGGCAGCCAGCCGCCCAAACCUUGUAAGUUGUAACUAUGCACCUCAUUUUCUUUUUGGCGGUUGCUUUAUAACCUUGUCUUUGUCUAUCUUCUCUCACAGCUCCCCACGUGUCACGCAACAAGUUAUCCCUUCCCUCACCCGCAUGUCCCUUAUUGAAUUCCCCCACACAGCAGCCGACGCGCCGGUUUCAACUGUCUGUCACCUUCCAACACAUCAUCACCACACAUGUCGCUUCCUCUGAAAAUCCGUACAUGUAUUCACGUGAUAACUGCCACGUCGCUUGCAUCUAUUGGACGGUUGUCAAUAUCAUAGGCACCCGCUUCACCAUGGCAUUAAGAUGAAAAAUCUUUGAAAAUGGGUUACAAGAAACAAAUGUGGGCCCCACCAUGAGCGGCCGCCGCGCCUCCUCUACCUGACUAUUUCACACGUGGACCCCUUGCCUAAGCCACAAUUUCUUAAAAGGGUAAUGGCACGAAUCUUAUCUUUCCAGUAGACUUUUAAACAUACACUUUUUUCCAGUUAUAAUACUCCAUUUUAAUCGUCUUGUUUUCCUAUGUUAAUUUAGCCCAACAUGUACAAUUUAUAAUGUUUUUUUUAUUAUUAUUAUUAUUUCUUCUAUUAAACGAUAUCCUUCAAUUAUUGGACAUUUAUUAUGGAUUAGACCCGACAUUUUAAUUCUAUAUAUUUCAUUUUUAUCUUCGUUGUUAUUAGAUCAAAAUAAAAAAAAUACAGUGCGAGAAUAAUUUCCAUGCAAUUACGGAUGUUAUUCGAUUUGUUUUUGUGUUUUAAAAAAAAUUUUGAAAAAAUUUAAAAAAAUUUAAUUUUUUUUAGCUUUAAAUUAAUAUUUUUUGGUGUUUUUAGAUCGUUUUGAUGUGUUCAUGUUAAAAAUAAUUUUUAAAAAAUAAAAAAAUAUUAUUUUGAUACAUUUUCGAGUAAAAAAUAUUUUAAAAAGAAACCGCAACAACACUCUCAAAUACACUCGAACAAUUUUAACUCUAUUCUUUCAUAAUUGUUUUGUGGGAUAUUCAUUUCCAUCAUACAAUGGUCGAAGUUCAUAUAUGAUAGUAUAAAGAUUAUGGAACUAACUUAAUGUUUCUCACUCUUUCUCUCCAAUGUCAUUUGUAAGUUUAAACUAUAUGUUUCAAUUGUGCUAAUUAAAUGUGGUCUCAGGUAGUAGGUGGUCUAGUGGUAAGAGCUUUGGAUCAAGAGGUUUGCUUUCCCUGUGGUCCCAGGUUUGAGCCAUGUGGUUGCUAAUAUAAUAGUCAUUGGAAGUUUACAUGGUCGUUAACUUCAGGGCCAGCGAGAUUAGAUGCGCGCAAGCUGGCCCAAACACCUACGUUAAUAAUAAUAAAAAAAAUGCUAACUAAAUCUGUGUUUUACAACUUCAAUGGACCGUAUGUUUUAGAUUCCUUAUAAUAUAUAUACUGUUUAGGUGCAAAUAAUUAUAUAUAUUAAAGACUUUUCUUCUCUUCUCUUUUUGAUUCACACAUCUAAAGUUGUUAGUUCAAAAUAAUGGAUGCGUACGGAAGUAAUCAUUGGUAUGUAUCCAAGGAAUUAGCCAGGUCAAAUAAUACCAAUACCCUUUUAGGAAAAAUUAAGAAGUUGAUUAGUAGAGUAGUUAAUAGUAAUCAAAUGUUGUAAAUAAUUGAAUAAUUUUGAGUUUCAAAUUAAGAUAUGAUCAUUUUGGAUAAUAGCUUGAUGAGACUUCCAUUAUAGAAUGUUAAUUUGUUUUGAUAAAGCAAAAAUCCAAAGUAGUGGUAACUAGUAAGUUAAAGGAGAAGGGAAGCGCAAUAUGAGCACACUGAAAUCAAAGCUUCCAACUUCAAGUACUAAAAAAAGAUCACGUGAGAGGUCGAGGAGAAGAAGCACCUUGCCGCCGCCACCAAUACCAAACGCAAUUAUAUGUGAGUAAAGAAAGGGACAGUCUUUGUAUUGUUCAAAGACUCUGUAGUUUUAUUGGCUAGAUUUUAGGUUUGUUUUUUAAAAAUUACUGGUUCGAGUCUCAUAAAUUUCAGAGUCAUUGGAGACUUAUAUAAUUGUUAACUUUAGAGCCUGUAAAAUUAAUCAAGAUACGCGGAAGCUGACUCAAACACCCACGUUAAUAAUAAUAAUAAAAAAAAAACUUUGGUCUGCUCUACAUUUAUUGUCUUAAAUUAAAAUUUGCUUAGAGAAACAUCGUCUACUUCUUCACCUUUUCCUCUUCCCUGUCCCAAAAGUCCAAUCCACUAGUCUUUCAAUUCUGAGUCACCAUUCCUAUGAAACACACUUAUCCAUUUCUCCACAUUCCUAUUUCUCUUUCUCUUCCUGUAGGGAGUAUUAUUUUUUAUACCCCGCUUUCAUUCACAGUCAUCUUUAAAAUAAAUUUUUUUUCCUCCCCACAUCAAAAUUGGUUCAUAACAACCAGCAGAAAGAAAUGAAAUUCCUAAAACAUUACCAGAUAGCUCGUUUUUUGCAAAGAGAAGCCUAUACAAUAAGGGAUUUCUUCUGUAAUUAGAAUUAUUUUGUUGGUUUUGUUAAACCGCUCAAAACAAGAAGACAAAUACAAAGUGAAGGAGUGUAGAUCAAUGUACCUAUAUGCUAUGACAGUUCCACUUCCCUAACCACAAAACAAUUGUUUUGGUCUUGGACUGCUAAGCACAGAUCCACACUGAAUUAUCAAGAUCUUGUUAUUUGUCAAAACAAACAACAACUUCUUCUUUUGAGCAGUAGUUAUUUGUCAGUUUGGCACUUCUGUUAUUGCUACUGCCAUUGGCUUAGAGAUGUCAGUGUUUAGAGGACUCUUAGAUAUGGUAAUCUUUAGCAGGUAUUUCUUAGCAAGUGUUUAGAGGCCUAAAUUACAAACCAGAGACUAAUUCUGCAGUAAACUGGAUUGGAGUAGCCAUUUUGUUAGGUCUAGUGCUAAAUUCUGGGGAAGGAGAUUACUUUACUUUCCUAGAUUUUACUCAUACUCUGGCCAAACUGAUCAGCACAUGAAGAAGCAAGUGGAGGGAAACCAUGAAAGGGAUUUGAGGAACACAUUAGGAAAUUUUUUGUUGAGAUUCUCUUAAGGUUGGCUUUGUCUACUGAUUUUGGUCCUCAUUAAAGUUCGGAUCAUGUAUGUACUUGCUCUCUGUUAGACUAAUAUUUUAAAGAAACGCCUUAUCAGAAUUUUUGUUAUGAUUAAUUACAUGGAAGAUGAAAUCCUUUAGCUCAUACUAUUUUGAGUCCAACUAAGAAGAGUUCGUUGCUUGCCUUGUUGUAGCGGUGAGGCAGUCACAAGGUUCCCAGGCUAGGCAAUGAAUUUAACAGAUCCCAGACAUGUAAAAUGAACAUUCCCUUGAAUUUGACAGAUUCUAGACAUGCAAACUCACUUAAAUGGUCCUAAAUCUUUGACUUUGUGUUUGGAAAUCCCAAUAUACACUGAGUAUUGGUAUGUCUACCCUUUGAGUUUAUUGUCUACCCUUUGACUUCUCCCCCUCCAUCUCUGAGUUGGUAUCUCAGAUCUCUCGAAGUAGUAUCACAGAAUUCUGCUCCUUGCUCUAAAAUUCAAGCAUGCACUAUUUUGAAUGUAAACCAGUAGGCACUGCAACAUAAUUAUUUUCUUGGAAAUUUAUUCCCAUCCUGUUGUAUUUCAUCAUCAUUUAAAUUGGUUUUUGUUUUGAAUGUACUAUUUCAUAUAACAUUGUUUGCAUGCUUGCAAAUUAUAGCCUAACAAUCUUUUAGAUCACCUGAGACAACAAAUUUGAUUUGUUUGUUUUAGGUUUAUUAAUGGUUAGUUAAUAAAAAUCUAUGAACAUGAAUAAUAAUUCUAUUGUAUUUUUAAGUUACUAAAUCUUUUCUUGAAUUAUGUAUUUUAAGAUACUUGAACUAUAUAUGAAAAUAAAAUUACUAAACAAAAGUUGAAAAACAUAAAAUGCCACAAUAUCAAGCUUCUUUUGCAGUAUUAUAUAUUUAUUCAAUCCCCAGUUCCUGUUUGAUCUGCAAAGCAGCUUCAUAAAUCUCCUUUUGGUCACUUAAAGACUUGGAGACGCUCUCCUUUUGCAAGCAUCUCUCACCCCACUUCACGAGCUUAGGGAACUCGGCUACCAUGCUCCAGUUUCCUAGGGUCUCAAAGGUGUAAAAGAAGCUGUAGAACGGAAUAAGUGCCAAGUCUAUAUAGCCAAAGCUCUCAUCCCCAAAAUAUUGCUUGUCUCCGAGUUCUUCUUCCAAGAUUUUAAAGCACUGAAACAAGUCCUUCUUCGAUGAUUCUUUGACCUCACCUUCAGAUGCCCAUAGAUUCCUUCCAAUAGGAUAAAUCUGGACGUAACCAAUUUGCAUGUCAAUACUUCAUUAAUGUUUCCUUUCAAAAACUAAACAGAGUAAGACAGAGAAAACAAAUCAGUACUAGGAACUUACCUUCUUGUCGAUGUAGUCAGCCCAAAACCUGGCAUGUGCACGUCGAUAAGGAUCAGAAGGCAACAAUGAAG